GGAGUCAGUGUAAAGAGAAGGCUAAGGAUAACUCGGCUCUGGAGAGUAGAGAAUAUGCCUUCUCUUCUGCCCCUCCAGGAACCUUACUUUUUUUUUUUUAAACAAAAAACAAAAACAAAAAACAAAAACCAAAAACCAAAAACCAACCACCACCUUUUAUUUAAAAGUCUAACCUUGGGAAUUUGCUGGGGAGAAGGAACUCAGUGAAUAUUGCCCUGGGUCCUGGUAAUUCCACCUACUGAAGACAACUGCCCCUUCUGCUCAUAUUUCCUGAGUCAACAUGGCCGUUCCUAACUUUGAAGAGACUUUAGACAUUCUUUGUUACAAUGAACCUAGAAGAAAGAAGAGAAAUAUUACAGCGACUGUGCCCGGGACUGUAAGGCGGAUAAGACCCAGCAGGAAACCUGAAAGAACAGAGGUCCACUGUCAGCAUUUGCACAGGAGGAAGUAUUUCGAAGCCCCCAUCACCUCGUCUGGCCUUAUAGACCUGCUGAUGAGGAAGGCCUUCUGCUCCCCUCCCCCAACCCUCUCCUCUUUCCAUCUCUUGCCUAAAGGCUGCUCCGUUUGGGGGACUGUGCCCAAGGUGCUGCAUGGUCGACCGACCGACCCCAGAGAAAGGCAGGCAUCAUCAUCUCAGCUGCUCCCUCUGCUCUAAGGACCGGGGACUAGGAACAUUCUGGCAAGAGAAGGGAGGGGGGGCCAAGCUUGGAGUCACACAUGGCUGCAUUUCGUAUGGCAAGGCUUUCUUGUUUGUGCUUUCUUCCUAUGGAAAAAAAAAAGGCUCUGGAAGGGGCCUGGGGAGCCAGAUCAAAUGUUCAAAUGUACUGGCAGGGAGCCAAGGCUCAACUUCUCUGCCAGGAACUCCACGUUCUCAAGUCUUCACUGCUGUUGAAACUGAUCGGGAAGGUUAAUGAGAUUAAUAUGGCCAAACACUGUGGGCUUCUGGGAAGCAAACAGCCAGGUAGGGAGGCCCAGUGUUGGACCAAGGUGGCUGGAAAUAAGGUAUACAACCCACUCCUAGAAAAGCUUGAGUGUUUUUACCGGACAAUCCCUGUGCCGGGGCUGGCGAGGGAAGCGCACAGAACUCUACGUCAUUGCUGAGGGGAAAUUUGACCAACAUCUAGGAUGGUCUGUAGGAAUGGGAUAGUGUGACAAUUCUACAUAUCUUACAAAGAUCAAAUCAACACAAUUCAUAUUUCUGUCGGCUUGAGCAAUGACUAUUCUAUGUUUUGGAGACUCUGAUCCUUUCUCUUCUAGCUCCUGGUACAGCCUAUAAUAAGCUGUAGUGAACUUCAGUCACCCUUCUGUGCUGAAGGGCAUGGGCACCCAGUCUUCCCAGCUAGCCGAGUUUCAAGACUUGGGAAAGGAGUUGCUUGCUCCAAGUGCUAAGUGCCUGUGAACAUUGACUAACUUCCCAUGCCCAAGAACUUCUCAUCCGUUUGGCCCCAACUAAAGACACAACGUAUGUAGCUACCAAAUGACAACUUUCCAGGUCAUCUGCCACCAGAGCCUGCCUCCCUCAGACCCAUACAUGGCACUCACACCUGGUGCAAGUGAGCUUGCUUGUCCUCUCAUCAUCUUGGCACCAUGUCUUCCCCUCUGGUCAUCUUAGUAAAGCCCCAAAGAACGGGCAAUAAUGUGAGAGCUGAAGGCUCGUCAGUGCCACUAUCUGUCUUAUUAUGAAUAAAAAAAUUUAAACCCAA
rnacentral:lncRNA from 1 species